AGAUGUGUGGGUGAUCUGACUGUGACAUCUGUCACCCCACAGAUUGCCAUGGUUGUGUCAACUGGUCUGGACGGGUAGACAGGCAUCCCCUUCAUCCCUCCCUGCUCCGUAUUUGUGUCCCUCCUGAAGCUGUACACUUGGUGGAAGAUGACAACCAUCCCAGGUAGAAAGAGUGUACUGUCCUUUGGUCAAGGGUAUACAAUAGUUGCCUUCCCUUGCUAAAACCUCCAAACAAUCUUGGCUCUGCAGCAAAACUGCUCCCGUGUCCCAUUGGGGGUUGACCACACAGUCAGCCUCUGUAGUGCAGACACAGCCAGAGACACAAAAUUUUAUAU
rnacentral:snRNA from 1 species